CGAAAGGUGUGAAAAGGGAAAAUAAAUUUCAUUGACGAGUAUAUUUGUUGUUUGUUGAAUUCUAUUUAGAUGUUUUUCACUUUUUUUUUUU
rnacentral:ribozyme from 1 species